GAAUUCUAAAACACAGUUUUAAUGCCAAAUCACUGUUCUUUUAGUGAUGAUGGUGGUUAUUGUGAGAGCAGACCUCUUUUGGAAACAUGCCAAGAAACAGGUUCCUGACAGGUCUGGGGAGGCAACUCUUCAGGUGCAGGUACUCAGGAAAACCCAACUGGAGGGGGAAGCGGGGAUGGGAAUCCUAUAACUAGGUGGUGACCCUAAUGGCUUAUUCGGAGAGGCAUGGAUCGAGAGAGGGUUCAAUAGUCAUAGUUUUGAUGAAUGGUAAUACAGCUAAUGACUUAACCUGUGACCCAGUUGAAUCUAGCAGUCACCUCUGCACAGCUACUCCAGGGCCAGAGUCUCGUUCAGCCAGAGUUUGCAGGUCCUCUUACACAUCAGAAGCACCUCAUAUAUGGUAGGAAUUUCGUCUACCACCUGUGAUCUACACUCAGGCUUUUCCUUCUCUAUCUACAACACACCUUAUUUCACACUGCUGCUGUUACUUGGUCUCUUCAGUUGUGUCCGACUCUGUGCGACCCCAUGGACUGUACCCCACCAGGCUCCUCCAUCUAUGCGAUUCUCCAGGGAAGAGUGCUGGAGUGGGUUGCCAUUCCCUUCUCCAGUGGAUCUUCCCAACCCAGGGAUCGAACCCGGGUCUCCUGCAUUGUAGGCAGAUUCUUUACCACUGAGCCACCAGGGAAGCCCUAUUUUACACUAAAUAGGUGCAAUUAUUCUUUAUGGCGUCUAAUCACUUUUAGCGAUUAAGAACGUUCUUUCUGCCUCACUUCGCACUAGGAGUUUUCCUUGCCAACCCACCGCAAGCUCCACAGCCUGUGGGUUGAGGCCCAGUCGUCCUCUUCCCUCCCCUGUAAGAAUGAGAAUUACAGGUCUCAGCUUCAGCAGAAGGGAAUAUAGUCGCUCCUCGAUUUAAUCCAUUCCUUCCUCCCUCAUUGUGCCUGCCUGUGACCAGCUUGGUUUGUCUGCACCAAGUAGGUUCCUGGGCAAGCUAAGCCAAGCCGUUCUAUUUCUGGAGCCCUCUGCCGAGAGCCGCUUCAAGCAAGAUCAUGGAAAUGUUCUGAUGACAGUCCCACACCGCUACAGUUGCCAGAUCUUCCCAGCGCCAGCGGCGCGCGGCGGCGGCGCGUUUACCUAAGCGCGGAGAAGUGUGAGGAUUUAAAAUACAUUCAUCUGUGGGCGAACAAGGAGGAAAAGAAGAAACAGAGGGCUGCCAGGCGAAGCGGGAACCAGAGGAGUACCCGGGCGCCCCUGGGCAGGAGCCAGGUGGGCGCCCUUUCGGGAAGAGAGCCCCGAGGGCCCAGUGGAGGGUCGCGGGAGGAGGGGAGGCGAUGCGAGUGUUCCUGUUUGCGUUCGCUUGCGCCAGCUUCUCCAGCCCCUCAAGCACAAAUGGGGAAAAGUCAGCUAGGAUUAUUGACUAGAAACACUACGUUAGAAGCCGGGGCUGCCCCAGCAACUGGACAGGUGCCAGCUCUGAUCUCCAGGCUGGGUAGGUCUCACCUGUGGCAGAAACGCACAGCCUCCCCCGCCCUGAGUCCAGGAUUUCGGGAGGGCGGGAGUGGGGAGACUCCCGAGGGGAAGAAGGAUCCCCGAAGCACCUGCUCCACCGGAUCCCACUACCUGUGCGUCUUCCGAGUCCCCGCAUCCUCCGAGCUGGACCCCGGGCCAUUUUUCAAGUGUCUCACCAGCUUUUGGACGCAGAGCCUCAACGGUUGCUUAGCUCAUUAUAAAUUCUCUUCUUUAUACUUUUCAAGGCUGUAGCCGUAUAAACAAUCGGUUUUCUUUGUAUCAUAUAAAAUAAAAGAUUCAAGAUUUUUCCCCAGCGGCAGUAUACUUGUAAUU
ensembl:lncRNA